rnacentral:rRNA from 1 species
AUUGAACGCUGGCGGCCGGCCUAACAAAUGCAAGUCGAGCGGCGCGGCGGCCGGGUGAGUAAUGCCUAGGAAUCUGCCUGGUAGUGGGGGAUAACGUACGGAAAAGGGCGCUCAUACCGCCUACUCUAAGUUGGUCCUAGGUGGGAUUAGCUAGUUGGUGGGGUACAGGCCUACCAAGGCGACGAUCCGUAACUGGUCUGGGAGGAUGAUCAGCGACACUGGAACUGAGACACGGUCCAGACUCCUACGGGAGGCAGCAGUGGGGAAUAUUGGACAAUGGGCGAAAGCCUGAUGCAGCCAUGCCGCGUGUGUGAAGAAGGUCUUAGGAUUGUAAAGCACUUUAAGUUGGGAGGCGUUACCAACAGAAGAAGCACCGGCUAACUCCGUGCCAGCAGCCGCGGUAAUUC